CGGGAAAAGUCAUUGUUCGAUCGGGAGCGAAAAACAUGGAUGUAGCAGAUUCAAGAACAGGUCCUAAACAUUUGAGUGAUGAUGUGGGAGAUCGUUGUCAAAAAUUAUUUCAAGAUUUCUUGGAAGAAUUUAAGAAUGAACAGAAUGAAUUAAAAUAUAUUGAAGAUGCACGAAAUUUAGUAAAACCGGAACGAAGUACAUUACAAAUAAAUUUUCCAGAUGUUGAAAGUUAUAAUCAGAAUUUGGCACAGGCAAUACAAGAGGAUUAUUAUAGAGUUUAUCCAUAUCUUUGUAAUGCUGUUAGAAAUUUUGUGAAAGAUAGAAUUGAAGUGAAUGUGGAAAAACAAUUUUAUGUGAGUUUUGUAGGUGUACAUAUCUUGCACAAAUUACAUACGUUUGGAUAAUUAUAAUGAAAUAUUUGUUAUAUGCAAUGAUUUACAGUGGGUAAUUGGAUAACGAACACUUUCGAGAAAGAUUUUUAUGUUCGGACAACGAACACCUCACAGAAUAAACACAAGAAGAAGCGAUGUAAAAUAAUGAAUACUGAUUGAUUUUCUCUUGUCUUCAGGUGAGAGUAUAAUAACAAAGAUAGAGAGUGGGCAGAAGAUGCCUAAUGUUGCUAGGCAGUAUGGUGCAAACAGGUGUACAGUAGGCCGAAAUUCAAUCUUACUGUAUUUAAGAAAAAUACAGUAUAAUCAAGAAAACUCAAGCAGCUAAAGGAAUAACA
rnacentral:misc_RNA from 1 species